rnacentral:rRNA from 1 species
AUGGCCGACGCUCAUAGGGGCAAGUGGUAUGCUGUGUUCGUCGGUAAGGUCCCAGGGGUUUAUAGUUCAUGGGAAGAGGCCAGUGCACAAGUGGCAUCUUAUAACAACAUCACCCAUAGAGGGUUCAAGACUAGGCAGGCAGCAGAACAAGCUUACUCCGACUGGGUGCGAAUGCACGGCAGCAGUGUUGACAGUCGCAAGGUUGGAGGUGUUAAGGUGGAUCGUCAGUUUGGGCUGAAGCUGAAGAACUUCAUCAUCUUCGCCCAGUUCAUCGCCAUUGCUGUGCUGUGGCGUUGGUGUGCUAGGUGUGGGUAA